GACGAACGCUGGCGGCGUGCUUAACACAUGCAAGUCGAACGGAAAGGCCCUGCUUUUGUGGGGUGCUCGAGUGGCGAACGGGUGAGUAACACGUGAGUAACCUGCCCUUGACUUUGGGAUAACUUCAGGAAACUGGGGCUAAUACCGGAUAGGAGCUCCUGCUGCAUGGUGGGGGUUGGAAAGUUUCGGCGGUUGGGGAUGGACUCGCGGCUUAUCAGCUUGUUGGUGGGGUAGUGGCUUACCAAGGCUUUGACGGGUAGCCGGCCUGGGAGGGUGACCGGCCACAUUGGGACUGGGAUACGGGCCAGACUCCUACGGGAGGCAGCAGUGGGGAAUAUUGCACAAUGGGCGGAAGCCUGAUGCAGCAACGCCGCGUGCGGGAUGACGGCCUUCGGGUUGUAAACCGCUUUCGCCUGUGACGAAGCGUGAGUGACGGUAAUGGGUAAAGAAGCACCGGCUAACUACGUG
rnacentral:rRNA from 1 species